ACGGAAGGCAGCAGUAGGGAAUCUUCGGCAAUGGGGGCAACCCUGACCGAGCAACGCCGCGUGAGGGAAGAAGGUUUUCGGAUUGUAAACCUCUGUUAUUAGUGAAGAAACAAAUGACGGUAGCUAAUGAGGAAGCCACGGCUAACUACGUGCCAGCAGCCGCGGUAAUACGUAGGUGGCAAGCGUUGUCCGGAAUUACUGGGUGUAAAGGGUGCGCAGGCGGGACUGUAAGUUGGAUGUGAAAUACCGAGGCUUAACCUCGGAGCUGCAUCCAAAACUGCGGUUCUUGAGUGAAGUAGAGGUAGGCGGAAUUCCGAGUGUAGCGGUGAAAUGCGUAGAUAUUCGGAGGAACACCAGUGGCGAAGGCGGCCUACUGGGCUUUAACUGACGCUGAGGCACGAAAGCAUGGGGAGCAAACAGGAUUAGAUACCCUGGUA
rnacentral:rRNA from 1 species